GGUUAUUUAGGACCCUCAAGGUUUCUGAGGGUUUAAGUUUUAGGGUUUCUGGGGGUUCGUUUCUAAAGGCUUAGGAUUCACCUACUUCAAGGAGGCAGGGUUGUGGGAAUUAAGACCGCAUUCUUUUUCUACCCAGCCCAGUCCCUACUAAGUACCAGACUUCUAAAUGUUGGGGCGGACAGAAACAAGCAAACAAAAUAUACAAUGUUGUGGGGUCGGAACGCUUUAUAAUUCACAAAUUUGACAAUAGGCUGCAUUUUCAUAUGCCGAAUUGCCUAAGAGUUCUCUUAAAGGAACAGCAAUGUGAAAGAACCACAUGGUAAGGAGAAUUUACGCAUGUCCUGCAUACUACUCCUUUCCCCUGUGAAUUGCAUAAGACCUAGAUGAUCUUGGGCCAAGGAAGAAAAUCUGGAAGGGUGUUUCUACCCACCAUGUGCAGAGUACACUACAAUUUUGAGAAAACGGAAAGACCAUAUUCAAAGGCAUACAGAAAAGCCUGUUCUGUUUACAAAGGCUGACCCAGGGCACCAGGGACACUGUCCCUAAGCAGAUCAGUUGUGGGAGAACUUUUCUACAUUAGCAUGCAAUAAGCAAACCAUUCAUAGUGAGGAGAAGUCAAACUCCCAAGGGUCCAUUUGAUAAAACUUUGUCAUUGUCGAGUGGAAAGAAGAUACUGAGAAACUUACACUAAGUGGUGGGAUCCCUUGUCUUUGUCUUUGAAUCUACAGGUAUUGGAGAAGAAAUUCUGCCCUUGAAAUUUAGACUCCAUAAAUUAACAUGGCACAACAAAUAAAG
rnacentral:lncRNA from 1 species